rnacentral:rRNA from 1 species
AGAGGGAGCCUGAGAAACGGCUACCACAUCCAAGGAAGGCAACAGGCGCGAAAAUUACCCAAUCUAGACAGUAGGAGGUGGUGAAGAGAAUUACUAAGUAGUGGUCCAAAGGGUCACUUGUUUGGAAUGAACGUAACUUAAGAAAUUCGUUGAGAAACAACUGGAGGGCAAGUCCUGGUGCCAGCAGCCGCGGUAAUUCCAGCUCCAGUAGUUUGAUUUAAAGUUGUUGCGUUUAAAACGCUCGUAGUUGGAUCACGCAGCGAUGUACAGUAAUCUAUUGUUCGAUGCUGUUCCGUGCGUCCGUCUCGAUACGGCCAUGGUUUCAGCUCGGCAUUAGAUGAUCACGCUGGACAUCGCUAGUUGCACGUGAGAUAGAUUGUUGGCCUUAAUUGUGCCGGUAUUCUUGUCUUGCGGGGUGUGCYUUGAAUAAAACAGAGUGCUCAAAGCAGGCUAUCGCSUGAAUGUUAUAGCAUGGAACGAACAAUCGUGUACAUGUGUGCGUCAUUUAAUGGUGACACGCCUUUGGCUUGUCGUUGUUAGAGACGCGCACGGCACCCACCAAAAUAUGGCUGUUGGUUCCAUAUACGGUGAUGAUUAAUAGGAGCGGUUGGGGGCAUUGGUAUUUGGCCGCGAGAGGUGAAAUUCUUAGACCGGCCAAGGACUAACAAAUGCAAAGGCAUUUGUCUAGACCGUUUCCAUUAAUCAAGAACGAAAGUGGGAGGUUCGAAGACGAUCAGAUACCGUCCUAGUUCCCACUGUAAACUAUGCCGACCUGGGAUCGGCUUAGAGAUGUUACAAGCUCUAAGUCGGUCCCACUGGGAAACCUGAAGUUUUUCGGUUACGGGGAGAGUAUGGUCGCAAGGCUGAAACUUAAAGGAAUUGACGGAAGGGCACCACCAGGGGUGGAGCCUGCGGCUUAAUUUGACUCAACACGGGGAAACUUACCUGGUCCAGACAUCGAUAGGAUUAACAGAUCAAUAGCUCUUUUAUGAUCCGAUGAGUGGUGGUGCAUGGCCGUUCUUAGUUCGUGGAGUGAUCUGUCAGCCUAAUUGCGGUAACGAACGAGACCACAAUCUCCAUUUAAGAGAUGCAAGCAGACGUGCGGUUGUCUCGAUGCCUCGCGGUUUCAGCGGCUGUACGUUGUAGGAAGGGUAGUUGUCUUUGUUGGUGGGCAUGUGGGGCAACCUAUAUGUUUAUUGGCAGGGCUGAUUAUUUCUCCCUUGCAUCACGCAGCAGUUGGUUCACACUGGCUGUUGCCUUAUGGAGAGACAACGAGGUAUAAACAAGCUCGAGGAAGAGUGGCUAUAACAGGUCAGUGAUGCCCUUCGAUGUUCAGGGCUGC